CUACUUCUUCCUUACUCUGCAAUUUUCCUUCACUACUGCUUCAAAGUGCUAUCUAUCUGUUUGAAAAAGUAAAGUUCAAUUCAGAUAAAGCCUGAAGGAAACUCUAUUGCUAUUGGUGACACUGUACUGUCCUAAAAAAUCUGCUGAUGUUUCUGGGAAAUAGAACUGAAGGACAAAAAUAAGCCCACAGAACUAAAUUCUAUGGACAUGGAUGUCACUGGCUUCAUUCUAUAAACGGGAGAUGAGGCAUUGAUUUAUUCAACACCAGCUUAAUUUGGUCGAGAAAAAGGAUGAAAAAAGUAAACAAGUUUACCAAGGUUCGUGUAUGAUGAUUACAUAAAGUUAUAUUCUGGAGGGAAGCUCCAAGCUGAAGAGCCAAGGUGGGAAGCGUAGAAGGCCAUGUAAGUUUAUGUAAAAGUGAUCCAGUUGCAACUGCUUUGAUUCAAAUUCAAGAGGAAUAAUGCAGUGUGAAAAGAAACUAUAUGUUCUUGAAACUCUAUAAACGUAGAACGUAUUAUCUGCCCUUCUUUUAUAUGGUAGAA